rnacentral:rRNA from 1 species
UCCAGCAGCCGCGGUAAUUCCAGCUCCAAUAGCGUAUAUUAAAAUUGUUGCAGUUAAAAAGCUCGUAGUUGAAUUUCUGUUAAAAAUAACCGGUCUGCUUUUAUUAUUAGUAAAAGUGGUAUCUUGGCUUUUUUUUUAGCAAUAAUGUCCUUGGAGAUGUUUUUUACUUACUUUAUUGUAAUAAAUUAUGUUGAGGAUUUUUACUUUGAGAAAAUUAGAGUGUUUCUAGCAGGCUAACGCUUUGAAUACUGCAGCAUGGAAUAAUAAAAUAGGAUUUUGGUUCUACAUUAUUGGUUUUAAGAACUAAAUUAAUGAUUGAUAGGGACAGUUGGGGGCAUUUGUAUUUAACUGUCAGAGGUGAAAUUCUUAGAUUUGUUAAAGACAAACUACUGCGAAAGA